CUUCCUCACCUCCACGCUCACUCCCUCGCUUCCAACGCCGCCCUUGCCCUCCAAUUGAACACCCAUUCCUCCACCCGAGAACAGGCCCAAUUGAGAGAGGUGACAUUGCAGGAGGAAAAUGCUGCAUAUGAAAAGGCUAUAUCAAACUGUGAAAG